rnacentral:rRNA from 1 species
AUACGGAGGGUGCAAGCGUUAAUCGGAAUUACUGGGCGUAAAGCGUACGUAGGCGGUUAUUUAAGUCAGAUGUGAAAGCCCCGGGCUUAACUUGGGAACUGCAUUUGAAACUGGGUAACUAGAGUUUAGUAGAGGGGAGUGGAAUUUCAGGUGUAGCGGUGAAAUGCGUAGAGAUCUGAAGGAACACCAGUGGCGAAGGCGACUCCCUGGACUAGAACUGACGCUGAGGUACGAAAGCGUGGGUAGCAAACAGGAUUAGAAACCCCGGUAGUCC